ensembl:lncRNA
AAGGGGAGGUGCAGCCAAAGUGGGCUUCUGAGUGCUUGCCUCCCCCAAAGCCCUAUUCCUUGCAUCUUUCAGCUCCAGCAUUUCACACAUCAUCUCCUCAGUCCCAGAGCAAUCAGGGGGACCCAUCCCACACCCCUAGUACCUACAGGCCCUGUCAAGCUACAACUGGGUGCAGAUAAUUUCAAAACAAAGCUUGUGUCACCUCAUGAAGCCCACCCAGUGAAUUUGUUCAGCAGCAACUCCUCUCUUAGUGCACAAUGAGCUCUGCAUCAGCUAGAGCAGAAGCCAGGAACGCUGGUCCUUGUGUACCAUAACCACUGGCACUUUGUAAUCUGAAUUAGAAGCAGGUUUUCCCUCUCCUUUUUCUCUCUCUUUUGUUAUUUUCUCUCCCUCUCUAUUUUAAAAUUUCCCUUUGCUGAUUUUCUGAACUCAAAUCAAUAUCCUUGGUCUUGCUAUUUGCACAAUAGCCACCAUCGAUACCAAGCAGACCUGUCCACAAAACUGAAAAAGUUGGUUUGAGUCUUAAGGUUUGUCCUGCUGCCACUGUUGGAGCUGAGAUGACUGGAAUGAAUUCCCCUCGGAGAGCCAAACGAAAGCUAAUCUCCCUGCUGAUGCAGUUGUCCAUCGAGAGGGCCCUUUCCCAUGGUAAUGUACGGGAGGCAGAGAUUGCCUUCUUUGUGCUGGCCACUACAGGCCUGUGGAACAACUCUGAGCCACCAAGCAAAGUCCCUGGUCCCAGCAGAAAUAUCUGACACUGAUGUUCUGCCUUCCAUCACUGGAGGGCUGGGGGUCCCUCUGGCAGCUGGUUGUGGGCUCUCCCAUCCUUCUCCUUUCCAUGCCCUCGCUGCUGUUACCCAUUAGCUUCCCAGCAGGAUGUCUUCUGGCACUGGCCCAUCUUCUGUUUCAUCUCACACAACUGGAUGUGCUUGUUUCUGUUCCUGAGCUCCCCUCCCCAUAUCGUUCUCAUUUACCAUCUGUUUACCCCAGCCUUUCACACCCACACCCUUGGACCUGUCUCUCUUUUUCCAUUCCUGGCCACUGCGCUCUUUCUAAUCAGCCCAUCUCAUACUUUUCCCCUUUCACUUGCUUCACAUCCCUCUGUUCUUCAUUUGGCUCAUCAACAGCAUCUCCCUUUACUCUUAGCCCAUUUGCCAGCAUCCAUUAUCUUGCUAUUAAUGUAAGGCUUGAGGGCCAGCUCCAGCUCUUGUCCAUUGUGCUGCAGGCCAGGGGACCCUGAGCCUGUAUCCACUCCAUGGUCCUGGACUAACUGCCCUCAAGCAAGCAUCACCCACUGCACAUCACUGAAAGGAUUUCACAGAAAAUGUUCUCGAGUGUUUAGGAAGGGUCUUUCUUCCUCUUCCACUGUGUAGAUGUGUUAGUGAAUCUCUUCUGCACUGCAGGGAGCCCAAAAAAGUCCAGACACAGACUUAAACAUCGAUCAGCGCUCACACACUCACCUCCCACAACAAGGUGCAGGUGAAGUGAAAAUCGUGAGCAGUUUCAUCCCAUGUCUGCAAACACAAGCAGAACUGCUCAGCAAUAAGCCCACAGACAGUGCAGACUCCGGGGGAUGUUGGCCCUGCUGAGUGCUGCAGGAUUUGCUUUAAUGUUUGGAGAUCUUAUCUGCAGAACUUAAUUUUCUGUUCUCAGUGGAGAAUUCAAACCCCCUCUACCCUAAAUUAACAAAUGAUAAAAACACUACAGUUAUGACCCACGGUACAUAUUUUAAGAUGUGCUGUUUAACAUCUUCCUCCCAGAUAAUUCAGAAAUUAUGCAGUGAAGCAAUUGAUGGGUGAGGGCUGUUAUUAACCCACAACUGCAGGUUCCCCUCCUGGUGGUAACACACGCACUCACUUGCUUGAAGUAGGAGGACCCUUGCUAUGCAGUGCAGUGCGUGUGAGUGGCCUCUAUCAUAGUGUCACAGUUUGCUGUCCAGCUGAACCUGUCAGUAGAGUUCAGAUGUCUGAGUAACACGUUUCGAAAGCCAAAGCUGUCGGUGGCCACGAGCUGCAGAUGGGCACUCCACUGUCAGGACAGCCUCUUGUUUGGGCCAUAGCUCUCCAUAGCUCUCGUGUUUAAGUCAGCAGAAGCCUCCGGUGCGCACCUACAGGUAGAAACAAAUCACCCACUGUGAAACAACGCAGACAGCUCUGCCCCUCUGAAGGACACCAACUUAGGAACACAGAGCAACACUUCUCCUAGGCAUGAUGGAUCCAUGUGAACCACCUAUCCUUGAACUUCAAUCCAUGAAAUCUCCACUUUUUAUUUAACUUGGGCUGCUUGUUUUGCCAACUGACUGUAAUUUCAUUUUUGCUUAUUUUCCUUCUUCAACUGACCCGGUAAUUUGACAGUGCUGAUAUAUGGCAAUGGCUGGCAGUAUGUGUGGCAGGACCUGUUCCUUAGGAGAUGCUGAAGCUGUAGACUUCUGCUGUUUUGCUCACUGACAAGGUGCAAUGAUCCAAGUAUGGCCAUAACUUCUGAGAUGUAGGAGAAGUCCUUAGCUUUCCCAUGGGCUUGGGAUAAAUACUUUUUGUUGUCCUCCUACAAGGUGGCAGAAUCAUAGAAUCAUGGAAUGGGUUGGGUUGGAAGGGACCUUUAAGAUCAUUUAGUUCCAACCCCCCUGCUGACUGUAUGAGAUAUCAGAGUUGACAUGGGUGUUAAUAAUAUCAAGAUAUUAGAAUUAGAGUUGAACGAUGGAGGGGAAAAAAAUGAAAACAACAUCAAAAUCUCUGUUUAUAAAAAAAGAUUGUGUAUACUCGGUAUACAUUUGUUGGUAGAUUUCAAGUUGCAGAGUGGCACAGCCACAACUGAACAUAAAUCCAUAUUUGUAUGAGCAAGAUUGUCUUAACUGAACAGUACCGAUAGAGAAAGGCAAUGCGGAGCAGUCUUCCAGCUUCUAAGAGUUAAAUCUGAUCAAGCGUUGGAGUACCAUCAAAAACUCUGGUACUGGAAAAUCAAAUUAAUUAAUGGUUUGAAGUGAGGUGUCACUGCAUAAUAGUUGCUAUAUGUACAUGAAAAGUAUUUUCACCAUACACCUGUAUUCAAAACUUUAUUGUAGGUAAGGAUGUUUGAAAGGUUGCCGUUAUUGGUAAUAAAGUCUGUUACUGUCAUUGCAGAUUUUUUUAACUCAUGCUUUGAUUAAGAGAUGUUCCUCAGUAUUAUCAGAGCACUGAACAUCCAUUGACUGGCUCACAGACUAAAAAAACAUGCAAAAAAAUAGUAUGUAAAUUUGGCUCUUGUUUCCUUGGACCAGCUGUGGAUCUUUUGGAAGGGCCUCAGUGACUUCGAAGCUAUGUCACAUAGUGGUCUGGGUCUCAGAGAGCAAAGAGGAUGCAGAAGCAAUUCCAGGGAAACACUGCCUGAGAAAAUCCAGCAGUGGAACAAAACCAAGAAGCUGGGUCACAGAGAUAACCAGAUGGCUUGGGCACCUCUUCUGUGAACUGAGGGAGUUGGGGUUAUUUAGGCUUGAGAAGUGAAGGCUCUGCAGCAACCUCAUUGCGGAUAUUCCAAUAUCUAAAAGGAGCCUACAGGAAAGAUGAAGAAGGACUCCAUUUGAAAGUGUCGUGACAGGACAAGAGGUAACAGUUUAAAAGUUGAGAAGGGGUAGGUAUAGGUAUAAGGAAGGAAUUCUUUACUCAAAGGGUGAUGAGGGAAUAGAACGCUGAGGUGUUCAAGGCCAUGCUGGGGAGCUGGGCAGCUUGAUCUAGUGGGUGGUGUCCCUGCCCAUGGAAAGGGAAAGUAGAACUGGGUGGUUUUUAAUGUCUCUUCCAGCCCAAACUAUUCAGUGAUUCUAUGACAACUUCAUUGGAAACUUCUGCUUGUGGAGGACAAUAGAGCAACACCUAAAUGGUGUGGAUAAAAUGAGACAGUGAUGAGCCGAAAAACAUCAGCAUAGUGAUCAUGUCCAGUGGGUAGAGCUGCACUCGGAGCUGGAGAAGCUUCCUUCCAGCAGUCAGGAUGCUCAAACAUGCAAGAGGUCUGUAGCCUUGUCUGAAGGAAUGAAACCUGUGAGAAUCACAUCCCCUGAAGAGGGUCAGAGAAACAUAUGCAGAGAACACAAGUUGCUUCACAGAACAGUAUGGAGAGUAACCAAGAAGUAAACGCAGCAGAUAUGAAAACCACUACCCAGAAUAUGAGCAGAAGAUGAAAAUUACAGCAGGCAGUCCAAGGUGGAAUUAAGAAGGCUGCAUUUCUAGGGAGAAAACCAAGACCCUUCAACACUUCCUGCAAAGAAGCAGAGAACAAGGAACUCCGAGCAAACAGUAAUAUCAACUAUACAGGACUCUCACAGGGAGGGGAUUUGGCUACUGGCUCCCUCUUAUACCAGCUGAACGUCGUUACCACAGGGAUAUGGAGACUGUAAGGUGGCCCUUUCUGGCUGACUCUUGCUAGAGCUACCAAAACAUCAGCCAGAGCAAAUAACCAAACUUUGACUGUUCAUCUGCAGCCCACAAAACUGCCCAUUCCUACCGUCUCGUGUGUCACAUUCUCACUUUGCCAGCUGUUUCAACACACUGCAUAGAGCAGACACAACGCUGCUCAUGACAGCAGCACACUACAGCAUUUCUGAGGCUUGAGAAACUCAACUGAAGUCCCUCCUCAGUCUGACAUAGGACAGCAGUGUGACUGCAGGGCAUCGGCACCCC